CCUACGGGAGGCAGCAGUGGGGAAUAUUGCACAAUGGGCGCAAGCCUGAUGCAGCAACGCCGCGUGAGGGACGACGGCCUUCGGGUUGUAAACCUCUUUUAGUAGGGAAGAAGCGAAAGUGACGGUACCUGCAGAAAAAGCACCGGCUAACUACGUGCCAGCAGCCGCGGUAAUACGUAGGGUGCAAGCGUUAUCCGGAAUUAUUGGGCGUAAAGAGCUCGUAGGCGGUUUGUCGCGUCUGCUGUGAAAACUGGAGGCUCAACCUCCAGCCUGCAGUGGGUACGGGCAAACUAGAGUGCGGUAGGGGAGAUUGGAAUUCCUGGUGUAGCGGUGGAAUGCGCAGAUAUCAGGAGGAACACCGAUGGCGAAGGCAGAUCUCUGGGCCGUAACUGACGCUGAGGAGCGAAAGCAUGGGGAGCGAACAGGAUUAGAUACCCUGGUAGUCCAUGCCGUAAACGUUGGGCGCUAGAUGUGGGGACCAUUCCACGGUCUCCGUGUCGCNGCACGCAUAGCGCCGCCGCGGAGUACGGCGCGACGACGAACUACAANAGAGUAGACGCGNGAGACGUGCCGACGACGACGACGAGGGAGGAGG
rnacentral:rRNA from 1 species